UUGGACAAGGCCAUCCAGGCCCACCCAGCUUAGCACUAACUCAUCACGACAACCACCAGCUGCAUGUACACACCUAACCUUGAGAAACAGGAACAGAUAAGCACACACACAUAAUCUUCUUCUUAGCUGAACAUUGUGUGACAAAGAAAGGUACGACGAGACUCAGAGGGAUGAUGGACGGCCCAACAGGACCAAUCCGAGAAGACAGCACCCCAACCCGGACCAACCAGAAGACCAGAACUUCUAGACUCAACCUACUUUCUGUACUGUAUAUAACAUACAUGCACUCUGUUAUCGGGGCUUCUUUCUGGAGGUUCCUUAUGAGCUGAAGGAACGGGCCCGUAAUUACGCUGUACCAGAUAUCUUUACUCAUAAUUAAACUGUCGCUUGUCAUACAAUUUACCACUUUGUCUGAAUCGAUCCUUGACCGGCUCGCCCAUCUACAUAUCCCAUUAUCAACAGAAUCUUGGUAGCAGAGGAUGGUUUACUAACGAUCCAGUCGAAGUGAGUUGAUUUGGGUGUGAGAGGGCGAGUUGGUGAAAGGACGGUUCACGGAGGACGGGUGAAGACUUUCGGGGGUGGACAACAAUUCUGCUCAACUCGGGAAACUGAUCUCAAGGUGCACCAUAAACAAGGUAAGCAAAGCCUGUUAAAUCAAACUUUGCAUAUUGUCGUAUAGUCUGUCCAAAUUUUGAUCAGUAUUACCGAGUGAGUAUGAAUUCUUGUGCAAAUUUAUGAUUUAUUGACAAGUUAAAGAACAGUGAACAUAUGUGGUAACAAACCGGCGACGGCCGAGGUAAUAGAGAUAUCAUUUGAGGCCUGUUGUAGUUCCAAUAGGGGUCAGUGCGAUAGAGAUCAGUAAGGGGAUAGAUUAAGUUCUGUCCAUUAAACCUGGCGCCGAGGGGAUAAAUUGUAAUUUUGUCCCGCGACCCGGUCGAGGCCAGUCUGAUAGAGAUCCACAUGAUAGGGGUCGGACAUAUAUAACGUUCAUAUCUGAUAGGGGUCAGUACGAUAGGGGUCAGUAGGGGAGGGAAUUGAAUUUUAUCUGGAAUAAAAUCGAAUUCUAUCCAUUAAACCCGGUAGGACCGGUCUGAUAGGGGUCGACUGAUAGGGGUCAGAAUGACGAUUACACAUUUAUAAUUGUUUCUUGAAAAUGCAACGUUGUUAGCUUUAUAAGGGAUAACUGAUUAGACAGUUCAAAAUUUCUAUGUUGUAUGCAUCUGUGACUUCUGUGUUGAAUGUGCAAAUAGGAACAAAAUGACUGAUGUAUAAUUGAAAUAUUAUUGGGAUAAAAUAUUUAACAUUGAGACUGUACAGCUGAAUAUAGCCAUUGGUUGCGCGCUCCAUAAAUGCUACACAACCCCAUGCGUUUUUUCUCGAACUGAGUAUACGACGGAGAAGCUCUGAGAUAAGGCAGAGUACGAGCAAUAGUGUCUCCAAGAAUACAUCGUUGGUAUUAACUAACGACGGGCUAAGUAUAUUCAGAUAGUCUGUGAGAAUCCCAAGUAAACUACGACUAAAUUCCGAUCGAAUUAAAUUAAAAUUCCGAUUAAAGCAAAAUCACAAUGGCGACCCCCAAUACUCCUAAGCUGAAAUUUAAUGAUUUCCUAGACCAAAAAAUGGAAUAUAGAUCAGGGGGAAAGGAACAAUGGAAGCAUAUAAAGAAAGUUUGGGAGGGAUUGAAGUUAAAAUGGACACAAGCAGGUUAUCAAACGAAAAUUGCCAAGGUAUGUGCAGGUACCAAAUUGACUUGGGUGGAAGCCCUGCCCCUUGCACUGAUGGCCAUGAGGUCUUCACCAGGUGCGGGGACACAUCUUUCCCCACAUGAAAUAAUGACAGGGAGAGUAAUGCCAGGUCCACCAGGAGAGGGAGGUCAUAUGCCCCCUCUUGAUGUACACCAGAUAUGCAUGACUGACUAUGUAAAGAAAUUGACGGAACUUUCUGCAGCUCUCUCCAAACAGAUACACAGAGUCCAUGAGGGGGAGCUGACGGGAGAUCCAGAGCAACCAAGGGUAAAGGUCGGAGACUGGGUAAGGAUCAAGGUCCACAAGAGAAAGUGGCAGGAUCCCAGGUGGACUGGACCGUACGAAGUGAAGGAGGUUACUUCACACUCAGUCCAGGUCAAAGGUAAAUCAGGGGCGCCUUGGCACCACUUGACUCAUUGUGCACCAGCUUCGAUUCCCAAUAGAACACUGACAGAGGUCAGGGUCGACUUGAGCGACUUGAAUUCGGCUCCAAUACAACCCGAUUAGCAGGUGACGAUGUGGACCAGACUCCCAUCAGCAUCGGCUAAUAGGCCUCCUAGAGACAGGGGUUAUCCCUGGACUAGACUGGGCAUAUCUGGCCCCAUGUUUGUUAUUUUCCUCAUAGCCACAGGAAUCUCAAUGGGACUUCUCCUAUGGCUAUUAGAGCACCAUACACCUCCAUCAGGUACACGCUCAGGACAAAUUACAUUAGGUAUUUCAGUUGGAGCUGGUACCGGUGAGAAUGUUGAAAAAGUCGCAGGCUUGCUGAUGAGAGUUAUAUCAUAGAAUAUUGAGGGGGUGUGCAUGACUGUUGGAAAA